GACGAACGCUGGCGGCGUGCUUAACACAUGCAAGUCGAACGGUGAAGGGGUCUGCUUUUGUGGGCCCUGGAUGAGUGGCGAACGGGUGAGUAACACGUGAGUAACCUGCCCCCUUCUUCUGGAUAACCGCAUGAAAGUGUGGCUAAUACGGGAUAUUCUGGGUCUGUCGCAUGAUGGGUCUGGGAAAGAUUGCGCCUUUGGGUGUUUUUGGUGGGGGAUGGGCUCGCGGCCUAUCAGCUUGUGGGUGGGGUGAUGGCCUACCAAGGCGGUGACGGGUAGCCGGCCUGAGAGGGUGGACGGUCACACUGGGACUGAGACACGGCCCAGACUCCUACGGGAGGCAGCAGUGGGGAAUAUUGCACAAUGGGCGCAAGCCUGAUGCAGCGACGCCGCGUGAGGGAUGGAGGCCUUCGGGUUGUAAACCUCUUUCGCCAGUGAAGCAGGCCUGCUCCUUGUGGGUGGGUUGACGGUAGCUGGAUAAGAAGCGCCGGCUAACUACGUG
rnacentral:rRNA from 1 species